GACGAACGCUGGCGGCGUGGAUUAGGCAUGCAAGUCGAACGGUAGGAUCCUUUCGGGGAUCUGAGAGUGGCGAACGGGUGAGUAACACGUAGGUGAUCUACCCUCAAGACGGGGACAACCCAGGGAAACUUGGGCUAAUACCGGAUGUGAGCUAUCGCGAGAUAGUUUGAAAGGUGGCUUCGGCUGCCGCUUGAGGAUGAGCCUGCGUCCUAUUAGCUAGUUGGUGAGGUAACGGCUCACCGAGGCAGUGAUAGGUAGGCGGCCUUAACGGGUGGUCGCCCACACUGGGAUUGAGAUACGGCCCAGACUCCUACGGGAGGCAGCAGUCGAGAAUAGUCUACAAUGGUCGGAAGACUGAUAGUGCGACGCCGCGUGAACGAUGAAUCCCUUCGGGGUGUAAAGUUCUUUUAUAUGUGAGCAGUGCUUCUUAUAUUAACAGUAUGGGGAGAGAGAUAUUAGCAUAUGAAUAAGCAACGGCUAACUCCGUGCCAGC
rnacentral:rRNA from 1 species